ACACAUGCAGUCGAACGGUAACAGGAAGCAGCUUGCUGCUUYGCUGACGAGUGGCGGACGGGUGAGUAAUGUCUGGGAAACUGCCUGAUGGAGGGGGAUAACUACUGGAAACGGUAGCUAAUACCGCAUAACGUCGCAAGACCAAAGAGGGGGACCUUCGGGCCUCUUGCCAUCGGAUGUGCCCAGAUGGGAUUAGCUUGUWGGUGGGGUAACGGCUCACCWAGGCGACGAUCCCUAGCUGGUCUGAGAGGAUGACCAGCCACACUGGAACUGAGACACGGUCCAGACUCCUACGGGAGGCAGCAGUGGGGAAUAUUGCACAAUGGGCGCAAGCCUGAUGCAGCCAUGCCGCGUGUAUGAAGAAGGCCUUCGGGUUGUAAAGUACUUUCAGCGGGGAGGAAGGGAGUAAAGUUAAUACCUUUGCUCAUUGACGUUACCCGCAGAAGAAGCACCGGCUAACUCCGUGCCAGCAGCCGCGGUAAUACGGAGGGUGCAAGCGUUAAUCGGAAUUACUGGGCGUAAAGCGCACGCAGGCGGUUUGUUAAGUCAGAUGUGAAAUCCCCGGGCUCAACCUGGGAACUGCAUCUGAUACUGGCAAGCUUGAGUCUCGUAGAGGGGGGUAGAAUUCCAG
rnacentral:rRNA from 1 species